GACGAACGCUGGCGGCGUGCUUAACACAUGCAAGUCGAACGAUGAACUUGGAGCUUGCUCUGGGGGAUUAGUGGCGAACGGGUGAGUAACACGUGAGUAACCUGCCCUGGACUCUGGGAUAACUUCGAGAAAUCGGAGCUAAUACCGGAUAGGACCUUGCACCGCAUGGUGUGGGGUGGAAAGUUUUUCGGUUUGGGAUGGACUCGCGGCCUAUCAGCUUGUUGGUGAGGUAAUGGAUCACCAAGGCGUCGACGGGUAGCCGGCCUGAGAGGGUGACCGGCCACACUGGGACUGAGACACGGCCCAGACUCCUACGUGAGGCAGCAGUGGGGAAUAUUGCACAAUGGGCGCAAGCCUGAUGCAGCGACGCUGCGUGAGGGAUGACGGCCUUCGGGUUGUAAACCUCUUUCAGCAGGGAAGAAGCGCAAGUGACGGUACCUGCAGAAGAAGCACCGGCUAACUACGUGCCAGCCGCCGCUGUAAGAC
rnacentral:rRNA from 1 species